AACUUUCAGCAAUGGAUCACUUGGCUCUCGCAUCGAUGAAGAACGCAGCUAAAUGCGAUAAGUAAUGUGAAUUGCAGAUUUUCAGUGAAUCAUCGAAUCUUUGAACGCACCUUGCGCCCCUUGGUAUUCCGAGGGGCAUGCCUGUUUGAGUGUCAUUGAAAUAUCAACCUUGGGUGGAUUUGCUUCCUCUCCGAUGGUUGGACUUUGGAGAGUGCUGGCGUCAGGUCGGCUCCUCUUAAAUGCAUCAGCGGAAAACUUUGACCUCUGGACGUCAGCGUGAUAAUCACGUUGCGCUGUCGACCGAGGUGUCAUCAUAAGGACCCGCUUCUAAUGGUCUUCGGACAGGACAUCAAAUUUGACCUCAAAUCUGGUAGGACUACCCGCUGAACUUAAGCAUAUCAAUAAGCGGAGGCU
rnacentral:misc_RNA from 1 species